AAUAUGAAUCAAUAAAAUAUAUUUUAUUAGCUUAGUCAGAAAGAGAAUGAGUAAAAAAAAUUAAUACAAUAUGAAAAUGAAAAUGAAAGGAUCUUAUUUCAAAAUUGUCUAAAAACCGUGUUUCUCUUUGUACUGUUCAUUACCUUUCCAAAAUUGCAUAUGGCUAACAACAUCAAACAUCUUAAAAGCAACAUGAAGGAUAAACGGUAAGAAUAUAAACAUCAACAUGAAAACUCAGCAGAAGAUAUUGGCAAGUCGAAGGAUAAACGAUAAGAACGAUACCUCUGUGUUUGAGUGUUUUUAGCUACGUAUGUUUUUCGGCAAACACAGUUGAGUAAUUUGAAUCAUGUUUGAGGACCGGUUGGAGAAUGACGUUGGUUAUGGUUGUUAUUUGAUGAUGGUGAAGGAAUGUUGUUGAGGUUGUUUGGUUUUUAGUUUUUGUUAUGAAGUGUGUUUGAUGUUGUGAAGGUGAUGAGCGAGGUUGAGGAUGUGAGGGUAUGUUUGUAUGGAGGUGCAAAGGAAGGGGGAGAGAUGAUGAUACAAUGAAGAAGAUGUUUGGAUAUGCUCACUCUGUUUUCCUCCUUUUCUUUUUGGUUGAAGGUGAUGAGAGUUUAGUUUUGUCUGAUGGAGAGGUGUUAUGAUGGAAA
rnacentral:lncRNA from 1 species